AAUACAGCCUCUGGCCCUUCCCCUCCUGGGCACCUGCUGGCUUCUCAAGCCCCUCCAUGUAGUUCCCUGCAGGGCUCCUCAGAGCACCCCACCAAGAGUCAGAGUGGGGACCUACACCUGGGACCAGAAGGACCAUGUCUACCAACAGGAGGAGGGCAGUCAGGAUGGGCCUAUCAAGCUGGUCGGCAGUGUGGGAAGCCAGCUGCCUGGUUGCCAGUCACCCUCUGGAGAGCCCCAUAUGGCAAGGAACUGACGCCUCCAACCUGUAGCAAGCGAGGACUUGAGGCCUGACAACAGCCACAUGAGGAAGCUUGGAAACACCUUCUCUCCCAGUCGGGUCUUAGGAUGACUGCUGCCCCAUUGACACCCAGACCACAGCCUUGCCAGUGAUUCUGAGAUGAAAGCACCCAGAAAAGUACUCCCAGAUUCCUGAUCCAUUGAAACUCUGAGAUAAUAAAUGUGAACUGUUUUAAGCUA